ACCGCCCAUGACCACCACCCGUAAUGGCGGCUGCCGGUAGCGACUCACCGACACCCCGUAAUGGCGACUGCCAAUAGCCACCCGACGGCAGCAAGCUACAAAAGCUUCUCAGCUUGAAAAAGUUUUUCGGGACUGCCGUGCAAAGAGCGGCUGCCUGCAGCCGUGAGUGCCGUGUCGAAUCUACUGCUGUAGCGAAUCUGCCAGCUGCUGCGGUGCCUUCUUACCGCGAUCGCCGGGUCUGUUUAUCGUCCGGAAUGCAGCCCCCCCCCCCCCCACCGCGCCCCCGCGUCCCCGCCGCCGACAGCAUGCGAUGAAGGACAGAGGCUUUUAGCUUUCAACCGGUAAAAGACGCUACUGAAGGUACAGAGGGAAAGGACAGACGGCAGAAGUGACCGCGCCAGACAGCUCGGAAUCCCCCCCCCCCUUCCCGCGGCUCGGCGGAGCAGUCUCCAGAUCCGCCCCCCUUCACCGUCGCAGCCCGCCGCGCCCCCGCCCACCCCAUCUCCAGCGGACCACAUCCUGCAGCCGAGAGGUCUCCUAAUUAAUGUAAGUCCGCAUGAACUGUCUGAACACACCUCUUUUGAACACUAUAAAAAUGCUGCAUUAGCCUUAAUUGAGAGCCCUUCGUCCUCCUGCUCUCCUUCUGAAUGAUACCCUGCCUGCAUACGCAUCACUCAGCAUUCGCACCGCAGCAUUGAAUUUACGGCCAGUUCGGGACGGCACGAACUCGGCAGCACCUGAUUCUCGUUAGCCUCAGAAAGCAAGGGCUCAACUCGGCCCAGAAUCGCAGAGGCUCGAACAACGCACCUUGAAUUCAUAAAUACUCUAAGAAUCUUCUCUGAACUGCAUUUGGACAGUGAGUAACCGACAAACUCUUUAUUUAGAGACUGAAUAAUCUCUCAAGAUUCAAAUGAACUCUCCUAAAAUCACAGACUCUCUUCAUUUUAGCCAUUCUCUAUUUUAAUCUGCAACCGUGAACCAAGAACUUACGUGGGAUAGUUAUAAAUAAGUUUGGGGAAGGGGAUUUCUAGUGUUUAGUAAUAAAUCAUUUAAACUUUCUUUUAUA